rnacentral:rRNA from 1 species
UGAGGAAUAUUGGGCAAUGGACGCAAGUCUGACCCAGCCAUGCCGCGUGCAGGAUGAAGGCCCUAUGGGUUGUAAACUGCUUUUGUACAGGAGGAAACCCCUGAACGAGUUUCAGGGUUGACAGUACUGUGCGAAUAAGCAUCGGCUAACUCCGUGCCAGCAGCCGCGGUAAUACGGAGGAUGCAAGCGUUAUCCGGAUUUAUUGGGUUUGAAGGGUGCGUAGGCGGGGUAAUAAGUCAGAGGUGAAAUCUCCCGGCUUAACCGGGAAACUGUCUUUGAUACUGUUAUCCUUGAGUAUAGUUGAGGUGGGCGGAAUGUGUAAUGUAGCGGUGAAAUGCAUAGAUAUUACACAGAACACCGAUUGCGAAGGCAGCUCACUAAACUAAAACUGACGCUGAGGCACGAAAGCGUGGGUAGCGAACAGGAUUAGAUACCCUGGUAGUCUACGCCGUAAACGAUGAAUACUCGAUGUGUGCGACAUAUUGUACGCGUCUGAGCGAAAGCAUUAAGUAUUCCACCUGGGGAGUACGACCGCAAGGUUG